GCAAGUCGAGCGGAAACGACACUAACAAUCCUUCGGGUGCGUUAAUGGGCGUCGAGCGGCGGACGGGUGAGUAAUGCCUAGGAAAUUGCCUUGAUGUGGGGGAUAACCAUUGGAAACGAUGGCUAAUACCGCAUAAUGCCUACGGGCCAAAGAGGGGGACCUUCGGGCCUCUCGCGUCAAGAUAUGCCUAGGUGGGAUUAGCUAGUAGGUGAGGUAAUGGCUCACCUAGGCGACGAUCUCUAGCUGGUUUGAGAGGAUGAUC
rnacentral:rRNA from 1 species